rnacentral:rRNA from 1 species
GACGAACGCUGGCGGCGUGCCUAAUACAUGCAAGUCGAACGCAAAACUUUCACCGAAUGCUUGCAUUCACGAAAGUUUUGAGUGGCGAACGGGUGAGUAACACGUGGGUAACCCGCCCAGAAGAGGGGGAUAACACUUGGAAACAGAUGCUAAUACCGCAUAACCACAGAAACCACAUGGUUUCUGUGUCAAAGAUGGUUUCGGCUAUCACUUUGGGAUGGACCCGCGGCGUAUUAGCUAGUUGGUAAGGUAAUGGCUUACCAAGGCAAUGAUACGUAGCCGAACUGAGAGGUUGAUCGGCCACAUUGGGACUGAGACACGGCCCAAACUCCUACGGGAGGCAGCAGUAGGGAAUCUUCCACAAUGGACGAAAGUCUGAUGGAGCAACGCCGCGUGAGUGAAGAAGGUUUUCGGAUCGUAAAACUCUGUUGUCAGGGAAGAACGUGUGCGAGAGUAACUGCUCGUGCAGUGACGGUAUCUGGCCAGAAAGCCACGGCUAACUACGUGCCAGCCGCCGCAGUAA